rnacentral:rRNA from 1 species
UGGGGAAUCUUGGACAAUGGGGGAAACCCUGAUCCAGCGAUGCCGCGUGAGCGAAGAAGGCCUUAGGGUUGUAAAGCUCUUUCGCCCGCGACGAUAAUGACGGUAGCGGGAGAAGAAGCCCCGGCUAACUCCGUGCCAGCAGCCGCGGUAAUACGGAGGGGGCUAGCGUUGUCCGGAAUUACUGGGCGUAAAGCGCGCGUAGGUGGUCCACCAAGUCGGGGGUGAAAGCCCAGGGCUCAACCCUGGAAUGGCCUCCGAGACUGAUGGACUCGAGUUCGGGAGAGGAGAGCGGAAUUCCCAGUGUAGAGGUGAAAUUCGUAGAUAUUGGGAAGAACACCGGUAGCGAAGGCGGCUCUCUGGCCCGCAACUGACGCUGAGGCGCGAAAGCGUGGGGAGCAAACAG